CUCUGCAAUCUGGAAGAUGUCAAAUUUUCAAAUAUGGAAAAACAGUGAGAGAGACCGAGUAGCAGGAAUUGUAGUGGCGACCUUCCUUGGGGACUACGUCUUAAUAUAACUUGACUCCGACCAACAUGUACAUAUAAUAAUUGAUUAUUAAUCCAGCCGGACAAAAAAAGAGCUAUGAAAAUGGCUGGAAAUUUCAGAGAAGUUGACGCGGUUACCACCAAAUGCUCCCUUUCCCUUCUCUCUAUCGCUCAAGAACUCCACUAGUUUCUUCUAUCCUUCCACAUUCUGUCGCCGGAAACAUUCUCCGUGGCUGCAUCAUCCUUCCACCCAGCCACCUUUGUACAUACCAGCGCCGCUCUUUCGUUUUUCCGACCAAAGAAGAGUUGUCGUGAAGCAGCACAUCCCUUCUACGACUCCAGUUAUCUCAAGGGUCAACUCCAGCUGUAACAGUUGUGAACAAAGUUAAAACUGUGUAUCUACUGCAUUUUCAUCGUCGUUUUAUGGGAUGAACACAUAGGCUUGGUUUGGCAACAAGAAAGUUGAGUUAGGAUAGUGGAAAAUAGUUGAGUUGAGGUUAGGAGGGGUUGUGUAAAGAAUGUUACUUGGAAUCCUGAUAUCGCUUGAUCCAAGUUUCUUUCCAUAAUCCCUCCCUACUCCAACUCAACUUUCUUACACCGAUCUCAACUCAGCUUUCUUAGAAAUCAUGACUGUUCUUGCCAAACCAAGCCUAAACCUCACCAGAUAGUCACAAUUGAGAAAAGAUCCUCGCAGAGCGAUUGAUUCAAAUGGCCAUUGAUGGAAAUUCUCAAUCGAACAAAACUCUACUUACUCAACUGGCUCACCCUGCUUGUGUAACUGUGAAGGGGAAUGAAAUGGAAACACAGAUCUUCGCCUGUUUUUAUGCAUUUACAGAAUAACAGAUACAUUCUAGCUAUUUCACAUGAAUAACACAUACCGGCCCUGUUUUGAAUCACUUUCUAUCAAAUCCCAAAAUCAAACGACCUCAAAGAAAAACUUGAGGAAGGAUUUCCCCAUCUUAAACAGCUACCUGAGCAAAGGAAAAUCUAAGAAGCUAAAGCCAAACAAGUGCACAGGAAGAACAAAUUUCCCCAUGUUAAACACUACACAGGUAUCUGUAACUGCUCUUUUGUUAGCUGGAGUUUGAAAUCUCCCAACCACACCAAUCCAAGUUUCAUAGUCCUCCAAUUAGGUGAACUUUUAACAAAAUGAAAAUCAUCCGUGUCUUACUUAUCAGUUAUCUGGGACACAUUGUCCAACUCAACCAAUGCUAGUUUGUUUAAUGAGCAGCUCAACAAGUCAUGAUUGUGCGUAAACAAAUCAAACAAGUGUUCGACAAAGAUUCAUGUUUGUAUAUUAAUCAUUUCUUCUUACUCACAACCGUACAAUUAUGAUCUCUAACAACUUGGUUGAUGAUCAAAACUUGGAAUAUGGGAAGAUAACACUGACCUGGGAUACAAACUCAAUAUUUGAGUGUUCUUCUUCCUCUGAUACGGUAGCUAAAGCCAUACAACUUACUGCAGUUGCAUACCCACAUCCUCAAUCAGCCCAGAACUAUGCUUCCACCGCUUCUGAAAAGGUAGCUUAAUCUGAUGGAUUAUGCUUCUCACAACAAAAUCUCCUUUUGGGGGAUUCUGAACCAAUCUCAUCGGAAGGGAAAUCGUAAUUUCUUCGGCCUUUCGGAGCCACUGCUUUCUACCUGUGACCACGCCAGCAUAGUCGAGCUCCAGAGAGCUUCAUUCUGUGGCAUAAGAAAAUUCACCGACGGUGGGAUAUCCAGUGUGGUUCAGGAAUCAGGACCACGGAGAAGGAAUUGGCGGCAGGUAGGGUUAAUCGGAGAAGGAAUGAAGAAAGGGAGUUACAACUUUCGAAAAACAUCGCCCGAAAAUAAAAAUUUAC
rnacentral:lncRNA from 1 species